rnacentral:rRNA from 15 species
CGAAGCUUGCCUCCAGGGGCAGGCCGAGUCGAAAUAUGAAAUACCAGUUUUUAAUUGUUAGGCGUCUAACCUCGACCCAUUAUCUGGGCGUGGGACAGUGAUAGCAGGUCAGUUUUUCUGGGGCGGAAUCCUCCCAAAGAGUAACGGAGGAUUACGAAGGUUCCCUCAGCCCGGUCGGUAAUCGGGCUAUAGAGCGCAUGAGUAUAAGGGAGCUUUACUGUGAGACCAACAAGUCGAGCAGUUGCGAAAGCAGGUUCAAGUGAUCCGGUGGUUGAAUGUGGAAUCGCCAUCGCUCAUAGGACAAAAGGUACGCUAGGGAUAACAGGCUGAUCGCGCCCAAGCGUUCACAGCGACGGCGCGGUUUGGCACCUCGAUGUCGGCUC